AUCACUUCUCGGCCUUUUGACUAAGAUCAAGUGUAGUAUCUGUUCUUAUCAGUUUAAUAUCAGAUACAUCCUCUAUCCGAGGACAAUAUAUAAAAUGGAUUUUUGAGGGAAAAAAUGGCAAACAUUUUGCAAAAUGUCUUAGUGUCUGACUCAACAGAUCAUAUAACAGGGU
rnacentral:snRNA from 1 species